rnacentral:rRNA from 1 species
CCGUGAACCUUUACUAUAGCUUGACACUGAACAUUGAGCCUUGAUGUGUAGGAUAGGUGGGAGGCUUUGAAGUGUGGACGCCAGUCUGCAUGGAGCCGACCUUGAAAUACCACCCUUUAAUGUUUGAUGUUCUAACGUGGACCCGUGAUCCGGGUUGCGGACAGUGUCUGGUGGGUAGUUUGACUGGGGCGGUCUCCUCCUAAAGAGUAACGGAGGAGCACGAAGGUUGGCUAAUCCUGGUCGGACAUCAGGAGGUUAGUGCAAUGGCAUAAGCCAGCUUGACUGCGAGCGUGACGGCGCGAGCAGGUGCGAAAGCAGGUCAUAGUGAUCCGGUGGUUCUGAAUGGAAGGGCCAUCGCUCAACGGAUAAAAGGUACUCCGGGGAUAACAGGCUGAUACCGCCCAAGAGUUCAUAUCGACGGCGGUGUUUGGCACCUCGAUGUCGGCUCAUCACAUCCUGGGGCUGAAGUAGGUCCCAAGGGUAUGGCUGUUCGCCAUUUAAAGUGGUACGCGAGCUGGGUUUAGAACGUCGUGAGACAGUUCGGUCCCUAUCUGCCGUGGGCGCUGGAGAACUGAGGGGGGCUGCUCCUAGUACGAGAGGACCGGAGUGGACGCAUCACUGGUGUUCGGGUUGUCAUGCCAAUGGCACUGCCCGGUAGCUAAAUGCGGAAGAGAUAAGUGCUGAAAGCAUCUAAGCACGAAACUUGCCCCGAGAUGAGUUCUCCCUGACCCUUUAAGGGUCCUGAAGGAACGUUGAAGACGACGACGUUGAUAGGCCGGGUGUGUAAGCGCAGCGAUGCGUUGAGCUAACCGGUACUAAUGAACCGUGAGGCUUAACCUUACAACGCCGAAG